rnacentral:tRNA from 2 species
GCCGCUUUAGCUCAGUUGGGAGAGCGUUAGACUGAAGUUAAAGCCUCAUCUACAGGUCGCCUGUUCAAGCCAGGCAAGCGGCA